UAUAUUUAGAAAAUGAUCAAAAACGAUGUACUAUUAGCUAUCUAGCUUGCUACAGAAACUUAGUGUGCAGGCUAACUCAAAUGAGCUGCUAACAUAAUGUUCGCUGGUUAGCUAACUUUACAUACUGUAUAGCUAGCUAAGUGAAUUAAAUAUCACCAGCUUACUAACUUCAUAUUAGCUAGUUAUCUUGAUGUAUUUAUCGUUGUAACUCUAAAUGCAUGUGUAGCUAGCUAACAGCCAUGGAAUAGAAUGAAAGGAUUAGCUAGCAGUUCCAGCUGUCAGAAGGGAGAGUAGGCUACUCUGGAUAGGGCAGGUACCUUUGUGGGAGGACAUUAUGAAAAUAUUCUCCAGUUCCAGUCCCUAGCGAGAAAAACUGAAGACAGAGAGAUAUACUGCCCUACCAAGCAAAAAGGCAGUAACUGCUCAUAGUGUGGAACUGAGGAAAAUGGCUUUAAUUUACCUUGGUUUCACAGUAACCUUAUGCAGUUACUGCUAACAUGACCCCCAUUUUCUCCAAAACACAAUACAAUAGAGGCAGGAUACUUGUCCACAUGAUUAAGCAUGUGUUUAAUGUAGCAAAAAUGACUAACUAAUUUUCGACCAAAUGAGCACUUACUGCAUUUUUGCUUGGUAGGGCAGUAUAGCUAUCAACAUAAUAUUCAGUACUGUCUAAUUUGAGUAUAAUGCAGCCUGUUUCUUUUGUGAUAUAUUCUGUCCUCAGAUACAGAGAGCCGUAAAGCCCUGUCUGCAGAUGAAGAGGUCCCAAUGAAUGUCCCAAGAGAGUACGGCAUAAACCUGUUCUCCACCACCAGUACAAGGACAUGCACGAGGGUGAACAAGCAACACUUUAGCUUAAAUUGUCUGGAGCUUGGGGUUGUUGUAGCCAGGGCACUUCCACUCAGAUGGACCCAGGUUUCAGCUGCUGUGCAAGACGUGGACGUCCUUCGUCCCAGAGAUGUGCAAGCAUCCCUUGGACUGGACACAAUCCGGCAAACAUAUAUUUUUAAGAAGAUCAGGACUUUUGCAAUGAAAAGGCCAUGGACAUUACAGUCCUGCUCCAAAGGGCAGGACAGAAAUAUACUCUCAGGCUAGAUUCCUUUGUAACAUGACCUGAACCAAAGUCACUCAAAGGAACUUAUUAUAAAAGCCUAGGUCUAGAUCGUUUUUUUUUUUUUUACUUUAUGUGUUGUGUGUUUACAUUUCUUCCUAAUUUUAGGCUACUACCUUUAGCACUUGAAGUUAAUAAAGUAUUUCAAUGUUAUAAUAUUUUCUUUAUUUUAAGCUUUACCUCACCGCUUUAGCACUAUGCCAGAGUCACGUGUCUUCACAUGUGAAUUCUUUAAGAGAUGGGUGGGUAUAAGUCUUAAGAGGGUGUGAACGAUGCUAAAUGGGCAUAAACAAAGAGCAGCACUGUAGCUGUUAAAUGUAAAAGGU